rnacentral:lncRNA from 1 species
UUCCUCUCUUCUUUACUUAUAGCAUCCACAUAGUGUUUGCCUAUCAGUACACCCAGCUCCCCAGGUAGCAGCUAGUGGUAAAGAAUCUGCCUGCUAAUGGAGGAGACGCAAGAGACUCAGGUUCAAUCCCUGGGUGGGGAAGAUCCCCUGGAGAAGGCAAUGACAACCCACUCCAGUAUUCUUGCCUGAGAAAUCCCGUGGACAGAGGAGCCUCGUGGGCUACAUAGAGUCCCAAAGAAUGGGACACGACUGAGUGCAACCCCCACCCCGCCCUCCGCCGCGCGCGCGCAUGCGCACACGCUUACACACACACACACACACACACACACACACACACACACACACACACACAUCCAGCUUAGAAGAAAAUACUACAUUUCCCAGACACCCUUGCAGAAAGGAAUGGUCACAUGAUGGCAAUCUGCCCAAUGAGAUGCGAGUGUUGGUUUCAGGGCAGGGCUUCAGGGGAAUCUCUGGGCCCCAGAUCUAAGACUGCAGGACAGAAGACCUUCAGCCUUGGGGAGGCCUCCUCUCAACUUGUGAGCAGGCUGCGUGAACUGGAGCAGAGAUUGCCUUCCUGGAAGAAGCCACAGUGUUUUCUGAGGAGCUCAAGUUCACAAUCCACAGGUGAGUUGUUGUGCAUCAUUAUUUAUAUUCAAGUGCUUCCUUGGUGGCUCAAUGGUAAAGAAUCUG